UUAUAUUUGAGAGUUUGAUCCUGGCUCAGGAUGAACGCUGGCGGCGUGCCUAACACAUGCAAGUCGAGCGAUCUCUUCGGAGAGAGCGGCGGACGGGUGAGUAACGCGUGGGUAACCUGCCCUGUACACACGGAUAACAUACCGAAAGGUAUACUAAUACGGGAUAACAUAUAAAAGUCGCAUGGCUUUUGUAUCAAAGCUCCGGC
rnacentral:rRNA from 1 species